AACAAGGCGUACCUGCGGACCUGCGGAGGGAUCAUUACCGAGUACCGGGUCUUCGGGCCCUGCUCCCACCCUAUGUGUACCUACCUCUGUUUCGUUGCCUCGGCGGGGUUGAUCCUGCGCGGCCCCUGCGGCCGCGGGGGGGACCCGCCGGGGGGACACAGUCUAAACUCUAAUUUAACGUCGAGUCUGAGAAAACACGAAUAAGUCAAAACUUUCAACAACGGAUCUCAGAUCGGAAGA
rnacentral:misc_RNA from 1 species